GGAUAAAAACUGAUCGGGCUCGGCCCGAUCCUCCCACCCUUUGUGUACCUACCUCUGUUGCUUUGGCGGGCCGCGGUCCUCCGCGGCCGCCCCCCUCCCCGGGGGGGUGGCCAGCGCCCGCCAGAGGACCAUCAAACUCCAGUCAGUAAACGAUGCAGUCUGAAAAACAUUUAAUAAACUAAAACUUUCAACAACGGAUCUCUUGGUUCUGGCAUCGAUGAAGAACGCAGCGAAAUGCGAUAAGUAAUGUGAAUUGCAGAAUUCAGUGAAUCAUCGAAUCUUUGAACGCACAUUGCGCCCUUUGGUAUUCCGAAGGGCAUGCCUGUUCGAGCGUCAUUACAACCCUCAAGCUCUGCUUGGUAUUGGGCACCGUCCUUUGCGGGCGCGCCUCAAAGACCUCGGCGGUGGCGUCUUGCCUCAAGCGUAGUAGAACAUACAUCUCGCUUCGGAGCGCAGGGCGUCGCCCGCCGGACGAACCUUCUGAACUUUUCUCAAGGUUGACCUCGGAUCAGGUAGGGAUACCCGCUGAACUUAAGCAUAUCUAA
rnacentral:rRNA from 1 species